rnacentral:piRNA from 1 species
UCUUGGUUUUUAUAUCACUGA